UGUAUUUCAUAGCAUCUAAUGGUUUCGGAGAACACACUUUUUUUGGAUUGACUGAUGUUUUUUUUAUUAAAGUACUGAUUACUGUCUUUUCUCUUCACUUAACUGAGUGUUUCUUAUUAUAAUAUGGAUUUGUACGGUAGUUGUAGUAGCACUAAUAGGGCUAUUUACUCGGUUCUCACCCAUUCCUCGGCACAAGAUAACCGAAGGUCUAAAGCACGUUAAGAAGGCAAGAAAUGUCACAAAUUAAUUCUAGGCACACCUGUGAACUGAUUCUAGAUGACUACCUAAUACCUAAUACAUAAUCUUUCAGAGAAUGCCAAGAGUUUGCCAAGCUAAUCAAGCUAGUUAUCAAAGCUAAUUGUAGCUUCAUUGGAUCUAAAAUAUAAAACAUUCUGGGUUGUUUAACACAUUGUGUACUUGAUACAUAAUUCUAUACAUGUUCUUUCACAGUUUGGAUGUCUUCAAUAUUAAUGUACCAUGUUGAAAAUAAUAAAAAAAAAAAGAAAAAACGCUGAAGGAGAAAGUGUGUACAAUCAUUUGUACACUGUAAAAAAUUUCCGGGAUUUCACAAGAUGUAACAGUAAUAUUUCACAGUAACUUACAUUAUUAGCAUUUCACAGGCAUUAACUGUGAUAUUUCACAAUAUAGUACAGUGUUGAGACUUUUAUUGUAAAAAGAAUGCCAUCAGCGAAAUUACAGGAAGCGGCUGUGACUUUCCUCCCGCGCUGGCGCUAUCUUUGAGUUCUCUCAUCUCUGCGGAUUCAGUGGUUCUUCCCACAGCAUCUCACAGCGGUAAGCUAACCACUGGGGAAUAAAGUUGUGAGGCGCUUUUUGGGCAUUAAUCCGGAGACAGGCACAAAGUCAAAGAAGCAGAAAGAACUCAUCAACCAGCAAGUCUGUACACUCAUAAGAAAACUUAUUGAUUUUGAAUGGAUGUCAGUCUAGUGUGAUCCAAAAUUUUGUUCUUUGUUUAGCUAGGCAGUUAUGCACUUUACUAAUUACUAUGUUCUAUAUUGUCUCUUUGUUCAAUAAA